CCAGAUUUUGGCUAAAGGUCCUCGCUCGGACGUGAAGAGUUGCAUGUCGAACAACAUAUCGGACAGAGAUAGUAGCUGUCACCUGUGACAAACACAACACUGACAUUAUAGAGUAGUAGGGUGUCGGUGGUUACAUAUUUAUUUAUUUAUUUUACUCUUGAGUUCUACUCGAAGUUUUCAAACGUCUGUUGGAAAAAGUCGGUUAGCUCAGUGUUUGCUAGCUGCCAGUUUUUCUUUCCUUUCUUUUAAAGAUAGCAUUAACGGUAAACAACAUGGCGGCGGCGGCGCCACGUCUUUCAGUUUAGCUCACAGGUUUAGUAGAAACACACGUUUAGUUUAAUUAACUUAACUUUUAUGUGAAACAUUUGAGGAGGUAACUAGGAAACAGGACAAUUCAUCCUACCUUUACUUUAAAAGUACCGCGUUUUGACACGACAGGCGGCGCGUGGACAUCAGCGCGAGGAACAACAUGGAGAUUCGCAGGACGGCGUAGAUGUGAACCUGCAGAACAUGACUGUGGACUGACUCAGCUAAGAGAAUUCUCUCAUGGUGCCUGAGCCUGUGGUCUCCUGUCAUGCCUGUGGGAAGGUCGGCAUGCGCAACAAAUGCAAAAUAUAUAAAUAAAUACAAUCCUGCCACCCUCAUGCCAUCUUCACUCCACCAUGACUGCUUCUACUCUUCAUGACACAAACAUAUUACGUAAUCACAGUGUGAUUGAAUAUGGUAAAGCAAAUGUUUCUCUGUGUUAGUGGUGGUUACAUCAUGUCUUUUUGUUUUUUUCCUCGUACAGUUGCUUCCUUUAAUUGCCUUUGAAGCUAAUCUUAACGUGAAGGUCAUUCACUCUGUUAACUGGUUUACUAUCCAACAUAGAACCAUUAUAAUUGGUUAGAC